rnacentral:lncRNA from 1 species
ACAAGUUCACAGAGAAGCAGCCAUUAGGCACAGCGGCUCAAACAGACAAGGACUAUAAGGAGCCACCACCAGCACCUUUAUUUGAGCCUGGAGAAUUGACAUCAUGGUCCUUUUACAGGGCUGGAAUUGCAGAAUUCAUAGCCACUUUCUUGUUCUUGUACAUAUCUAUUUUGACUGUUAUGGGUGUUUUCAGUGCAAAGAACAAGUGUGCCUCUGUGGGCGUCCAGGGAAUUGCUUGGGCCUUUGGGGGUAUGAUCUUUGCACUUGUCUACUGUACUGCUGGUAUCUCAGGUCAGUCCCUAAAACCCCUUUCCUAUCUUUACUUUUAAUUUACCCUUUUUUUUUUUCAAAUUGCUUAAUUUUUCUUUUUCUUUUUUAUUUUUGGACUUCUCUCUGUAUAUCUUUUUUUUUAGUCCUUCUUUUUACGAUCUUUGACUCAAAAAAGUUCUUCAAUCGGUUUGUGGGUCUUUAGAGAUUCUUGAGGAAAUUUAUUCAGUUGAGUAGUAGUGAUUUGUGUGUUCCUUCUUUGUAUUGGAAAAUUUUGUGGCUUUUUAUUGUUCUGUUUAUCUGUAUAAGUGCUUAGUUUAACCACGGGCUAGCUACAUCGAUGAUAUUUGGAACUAAAGAUUGUAUCUUUGUGAUUUCUUGAAAUUUUUUUGACUUUUUUCAGUGUAAGCUGUUUGGCUAAGCUUAAAAUGUUUGCUUAUAAGCAAAUAAGUAUUAAAAUAAUUACUAGCUUAGUAAGGUAAAGUGUAUUAGGUAUAUACACUAACGUUUUUCUUCUACUUUGAUGGUAAGGUAAAAAUUGUUAUGACCAUGUUAACAAGGUUGAUCUUAUUAAGAGGAAUGACUCGAUAUCUAUCUAAGUUGGUCAAUAUUUCGAUAUUUAAUCAAUACGUGAUUUAUUCUCUUAACAUGCUCCCGCAAAAUAAUGGCUCUUUUUUAGCAGACCAAUUUUGAAAUUCGUGUUCUUAUUUUUGAGACUUAAUCGGAUCGAAUAGCUCGUUGGAGUUACUGGGCUCUGAUAUCGUGUUAACAACCUUACUAGGAGUGGCCCAAAAUCUAUUUAAGUUGGUCAAUAUUUCGGUAUUUAACCGACGUGUGAUUUAUUCCCUUAACAAAAAUUGUCAAAAUAUGUAAAAAAAUUUAUUUUUAUAGCUUAGCUAGACAUAAGUGAGGGAAAAGUAAGAUAUUGAAACAUUUUUGAAACGGAAAUUUACUUAUGAGCAACUUUUAAACUACUUUGAUGAAGCAUAUUUAAAUUUUUCUUGUUUGCAUGUUAAAACAGGAGGGCACAUCAACCCAGCUGUGACCUUUGGCUUGUUCUUGGCAAGGAAACUUUCUUUGAUCAGGGCUUUAUUUUACAUGGUGAUGCAGUGCCUGGGUGCCAUAUGUGGUGCUGGUGUUGUUAAGGGGUUCAUGAAGGGUCAAUACG